GACCUGGUGGUGGAGUUGGUACCACGCUUGCUUCCAGUAUUGUUGAAAUAUACUGGAUUUCUAGCGGGAGGCCCCCGUUCGAUCCGGAGUCAGGUCA